AAAGGGAAGAGGAAUAAAGAUGAAUGAAUGGAAGAAUUAUGUUUAGCUAGUGAUGUCUGGCAACUGAAUACAGAUAAGGUUGCAAUAUAUCAGAGCGAGUGAGUGAGUGCGUGCGCGAGUGCCUUGCGGAAAAGAAAGGAAAAGAGAGAGAGAGGAAAAAUAGUUGUGUUCUAUCACGUGAUCGUAGAAGUUAAGCUACUACUACUAUUACCACCACCACUACUACUACUACUACUAUACAACCACCUACUAUCACCACUUCUACCACUACAACUACCACUACGACCAGCACCACAACUAGAAGUACCACCUCCACCACAAUCAUUACCACCACUACCAUCACCACCACCACCACCACUGCUGCUGCUGACACCACCUCUAGCAACCUACAGAUUCAAGUAGUGAAGAGGUGGCAGGAACAUGAUUACGAUUCGCAGCAGGCUUGUGUGACGUGAUGGCGACGGUGGUGAGGUGAUGGAAGGAGAAGAACAUGAAAGAACGAACCCGUAUAGGAUGCUGCUACAAUUAUUACCAUCACCACCACCACCACUACUGCUGCUGCUGCUGCUACUACUACUACUAGUACUACACAUCCCUCUUAUUAACACUGCAUAACUACAGAAAAACAACAUUAAAAGAAAAAACGGACAAGACAAAAACAAAGAAACGAAUAAAGCGAAAUUGUACAUAUUAAACAAAAAUAAAUAAAAUUAAUAAAAAUCAAUAAAACUUAUUAAUAUGUCCUUUUUCUAUAGUUUGUGCUCUUAUCAAUAUAUCUGGCACCAUUGUUAAUAUAAUUUGGCACCUUUAUAGAUAGACCAUGCCCUUAUCAGUAAAUAAUGUCCUUUUUUAUGUAGUCUGUGCACUUAUCACCACGCACAAUUGAGAAUAUAGGCUAGGCUUUCAACUGACAUACUUUCAAAUUGCGCCCUGGUGAAAUAUACGGUCUCUCUUUCUAUAGACUGUUAUUAACUCAACACCUGUAUGUUCUUUUGCAAUUUACAGCUAUAGAGUAUAUCUUCAUCGUCCUUCUUUGUAUAAACUGUCAUUAAUUCAAUGUCUUUAUUUUUCUUUGCAAUAAUUACCCUAACCAAGACGUAAGUAUAGAAUAAAAGAUAAGGAAGAAAAUGAGUAUACCAGAGAGAGAGAAUACCCACAAAUACCCCCCCAAAAAAUAAAUAAAUAAAUAAAUAAAAAUGAAAUAAAAAUAAAUAAAAAUAAACUAAAAUAACAAUAAUUUUCACCCACCGCACAUGCCUGCCACCAUCCAAUGAAAACAAGAAUAAACAUUUAUAUAAACAAAUACCCAGAAAUAUCAAUAAAUAAAUAAAUAAACGAACAAACACAUUUGAACCCACACAUAUACCCAAAAACCAACAAACACACAAACACUCAGUUAAACCCAAUCACCAAUAAAAUAGAUAAAUAAAUAAAUAAAUAAACACAUUUAAACCCAUACACAUACCUGCAAACCAACAAACACACAAACACUCAGGUAAACCCAAUCAUCACAUCUACCUGGCCUGUCACCACCAAGACUCAUCACUACAGGAAGGAUAAUGAAAUACCUGCCAAGAGUUUGUUAACAGUUCACUAAUGCUUUAACAAAAAUAACUUUGUUUAUUUCCCGUAACUGAGUACAACUACCAUGCCCUAUAGUGGUACUUAAUGCCUAGCUGUGUGUGUGUGUGUGUGUGUUUAGGAUCAGGAGCUAGACUUUUCAUAUUUCCAACUCAUAACUUCCCUUGUGUGUGUGUGUGUGUGUGUGUGUGUGUGUGUGUGUGUGUUUAGGAUCAUGAGCUGGACUUUUCAUAUUUCCAACUCAUAACUUCCCUUGUGUGUGUGUGUGUGUGUGUGUGUGUGUGUGUGUGUGUGUGUGUGUGUGUGUGUGUGUGUGUGUGUGUGUGUGCCUCUAAUGGAGUGGUAGGUACAGUACAGUACAGUACACACAAGUACAGUUUUAUAUAUAUAUAUAUGCUGUAUAUAUAUAAAGAGACGAGUUUAUAUCACAAGGCUGAUCACAGACAUGAACAGGAAACUUGCUGUGAGGGUUGGCACUGUGCCACCAUCACCCUUGCCUCUCUGGCCUGGAUUCUGAAACACUUCACUCACUCACCACCCAUUCUCAAAGGCCACAGCGAUGAUUAGCCAUGUUCUCAAGAGUGUUUCUCCACAUAAUAAAGCAGAAAUCUUGUUAAUCUGUCACUAUGAGUAAGAAAACACCCUUGGAAACCCAUGUAGUUUCAACCAGAGCCUUUGAGAGUAGUGGAGGUGCAUGCGAGAAAGAAGUGUCUCAGAAUACAGUCCUUUAUGUGAGUCACUGUCCUCAUAGGUACAUGAGAGGACACCCUGGUUACAUUCCCCAAAAAAUCAUUUAUAUGUACAAGUCAAAAUCAAAGCAAGAGAAAUUUGGAGGGUUUUACCAAGCAUAUCACUGAUUAACUGAAUUUUCUGGUUAAGGUCAAAUGGAAUAGCAGGAAAUUGACCUUUGAAAGAACCUGUAUCUUUUUAAUCUAUUCCCAUGUCAUGUCUGGUGAAUGAGAUGGAUCAGCAAACUCUGCAAGCACGAGUGAAGUGAAUAAGGAACUGCAGGGAGACAUGUGGGCACUUCUUCCAAGGCUUUUUGUUUAUAUAGAAGCCAGCCCAGUGUUGUCUCCGAAUAGAACACAGGCAGUGAGCAAACAUUGACACCAGAGCCUUGUACAAUCUAAUGGUUACACCUAUGGCCUGUCCUUUCCCUCACCCACACCUAGCUAAGAACAGAUGAAUACAGCUCUUAUAUUCAUACCAUUCCUCUUUUCUCCCCCUCCCACAUACCUAAAGAACACAUAAAUAAACUUGUUCUUAUAUUCAUACCAUCCCUCUUCUCUUCUUUACCCACAACCAGUCAAAGAACAUAGAAACCCAGGCUCUUCUGAUCAUACUCCUGUCUUCUCUCCCAUACCCCCAUGAAUGCAAGCUCUUAUGUUCAUACUGAUCCUCUUUUCUGUUCCUCAAUCAUAUCUAGCAGCAAAACAAUGAUAUCUCUUGUGGUUUCUGGUAAUGUCUCCUCUGAAGAUUUUAUUUUUAAGUUCUGUUUUUUACCUGAAGCAAUUUCUCUAUGUAAGUUUUUGGCGUGGGUGUGUGAGCCUUGCUGGGUUUACUACUAGAUUUGGUGAACACUCUCUGUAUUCCUCGAGUGUUGGUCUUUGGGGCCUGCUUGGGUCUGGUGCCAGGUUGGUGUUUGGUCCUGCACAAGUGGAGGAGUUAUGAAGCAUUAAGGGCACAAGUUUCAGCAGACGGAAGGCUGGUGUACCAUUCAUGGGGUGUUUUUAUCUCUAACAGUCAAAUCAAGGUUUAUGAAAAUUGGGUUAAGCUCUUGUGCUGUUAUUGGUGGAGAAAUGUGUAAAUGAGAGGGAGUGCAUGCAGGGAAGUCAAACUGUGGCUUACUUCUUGGAGGUAUCAGUGAAAAACAGUGCUAUCUCUUGCUAUCUCCCCUGAAUACCACCAAGGCUAGACUCCUGCACCAUUAAUAAAACAGUGCUAUCUCUUGCCAUCUCCCCAGAAUACCUAUUACUGUUAGACUCCCACAUCAGUAAAAGAAACAGUGCUAUCUCUUAUGACCUUCCCUGAAUACCACCACCACUAUGUCUAUGCUCCCUCAGUUAUGGUCAUUAUUACUGAUUCUAUCACUCUUAUGAAUAGCUAGAUGUCUGUCUGUCUGUCUGUCUUUGCAUCUUGUGUUGUGGUUAGUGUGUUAGUUCAUGUACAAGUGUGGUGAAUGUUUCCAUUAUGUUUGUGUCUGUUUUUCCUACUUUUUUUCUCAUAAAGAGUUAAAGAAAUCA